UGCCGCACUUCCACGCCCACCUCGGGACUCGACCAUAAAGCCAGUGCUGGAGCGGUCUCAUAUGUAACAGGCUGAGUGGUGUAAGUGCCACUGUGGUCGCCAUAUGCCACAGUAGCCUCUGAAAAAGUUUCAGUGGGAGCACUGUUCUGUACUCGAACAUAUUCAAGCAGGCUAGCACUGACUGCACAUGUUCCUCUGUGAGGCAUGCUGUCUGUUCGACUGAAUCCAGCUUCAUACAGAGAAAAGAGAUCCUCUGCAUUGGGGAGAGUUUGCUAUUUUCCCAGUUGACCCGAAAGGCCCAACAGGCUGAGGUGCCGGAGCACCAGGUCUCUGUGCUCGCAAAACUGAUCCUGAGACUGUGCUAGUAUAAGCCAGUCAUCUAGAUAGUUGAGAAUGCGAACACCUUGCUCUCUGAGGGGAAUAAGAGCCGCCAAAGGGUAGAACUUUGUACUGCUAUGCCCUUUCUUCGAAUGCAAACCACAGAAAUGGUCUGUGGUGCAGAAGGAUCAACACAAGAAAGUACGCGUCCUUCAGGUCGAUUGCUGCAGACCAAUCUUGGGGAUGUUUCUGCGUCAACAUCUUGAACGGUAGCUGAUGAAGGCCUGGUUCAAAACUCACAGAUCCAAGAUCGGUCGUAACCCACUGCCUUUCUUGGGUACAGUGAAGUGAGGACUGUAAAACCACAACCUCAUAUCGGCUGGAGGGAUUGGCUCUAUUGCAUCCUUCGCCAGUAGGACUGGGAUCUCUGCCCACAGAACAGUGGCAUCGGCUGCUUUCAUUGUAGUGAACCGGAUACUGCUGAUCUUGGGGGGACGCCAGGCGAACUGAAUCACAUAGCCGAGGCUGAUGGUCCGCAGAAGCCAGCGAGAUGGGCUUAGUAGCGCUGACCAGGCACCUAGAAACCAUACAAGCGGGACCAGCAGAACCACAGCCAUACCCACGAGGCGAGGGCAGUGAGGUGGAACACAGGGACCCAACUCAGGUGGCUUGUGAGCUGGCCGAAGAGGGGUGUGAGUGUGGGGUGCAAGGCUCACCUGGUUCCACAGGUUGGCAGAGGGUGCGUGAGUUAGGCCUUUGUUAGGCCUGCUCUCUGGUGAAGGAGGAGGAUGAGUGAGGUCCGGUGCUUAGCUGUCCGCAACUCUCCGUGCCCUCCUGGGACACAGAGAUAGAGAAAACCGCUCUCUCAUCGAGAUUUCCAGGGAGGGAGAGGUGCCUUCACCAUCCCCCAAAAAGCAGCUACCUCUCUCUGGGUCACCCGUCCCGGGGCCUCUUGCUCUUCCACUCACCGGCAGGUUUGAAUUCAUUAAGGAACCAAUCUUUGUCAGCGUCCCUCAUAUCAACCAGACACAGCCAGAGAUGGUGCUCCUGGACCACAAGCGUGGACAUCGCACGACCCAGAGAACUCGCGGAGACCUUCGUCGCUCCUAGUGCGAGGUUAGUGGCGGGUCGUAGUUCUUUCAGAACUUCCGGAUUGUCCUUCAAAUGUCCUUCGAUCAUCCAGGUCCUUCAAUGCCUUGGCCUGGUGCACCUGCAGCAACGCCAUAGUGUGUAAAGCAGAAGCAGCUUCCCCGCAAGCCAUAUAGGCACUGCCAGUUGGACCAGAAGAAUGCAUACAGGCCCAGGAAGGAAGCACCGGGUCUCCCCACCAGGAGGAGGCGGACUUAGGACACAAUUGCAUCGCUACAGCCCGCUCCACCGGGGGGAUUGCCGAAUACCCCUUCGCUGCAUCGCCGUCGAGGGUGGUGAGGGAGGAGGAGCCCACCGGCCGGUUUCUGGCAGUAAAAGGUGCCAUCCACGACCUGGUGAGCUCGUCCAGCACUUUUGGGAAGAAAGGCACCGGGGUGGGGUGCUGAGAACCAGUGCGAGCCCCCCUGAGAAACCAAUCAUCCAGCCUCCAGGGCUUGGGAUGCGGUGGAGGUUUCCACUCGAGCCCUACCCUCUCGGCGGCCCGGGAAAGCAUAGCUGUCAUCUCCGGAUCCGAUUCAGGAUUUCCCACAGUCCCGGAGGGUGGCAGCGUGGGUGAAUCUUCAUCGGACAGCUCUCCCUCCAAUGCUGAGAUCGACAUCUGGUCGAGGGGAGGUCCACUGGAUACCGCUGGUACGCUCUUUGAAGAGGGUCCAGAGCAUUCUGUGGGUCGCUCUGCUGGAUCGGCGGUGCAAGACGAGUGAUGGUCCCACGAGGGUUGGUUCCCUGAGGGGUUUUCCACUACUGUAACCCUCAAACCGCCCGCGCUACUGCUGGAAGUGGUUUUCAUCUGUCGGACGCCAAAACAAACCCCAGAUCGCAGCAAUGGGACUCCGCUCCCCUGAAGGUAGCGGAACCUGGUUCCCAGGUCCGAGAUGGUCAUCUUCCCGCAGUGGGAACAUGAGACAUUCAUGAAGGCCACCUCAGCGUGCUUGAUGCCCAAACAUGUGAGGCAGC
ensembl:lncRNA